ACCAGACUCCUACGGGAGGCAGCAGUGAGGAAUAUUGGUCAGUGGGCGAGAGCCUGAACCAGCCAAGUCGCGUGAGGGAAGACGGCCCUACGGGUUGUAUACCUCUUUUGCCGGGGAGCAAGCCUGAGCACGUGUGCCCAGGCGGAGAGUACCCGGAGAAAAAGCAUCGGCUAACUCCGUGCCAGCAGCCGCGGUAAUACGGAGGAUGCGAGCGUUAUCCGGAUUUAUUGGGUUUAAAGGGUGCGCAGGCGGGCUGUUAAGCCGGCGGUAAAAAUUCAGGGCUCAACCCUGUCGAGCCGUCGGAACUGGCAGCCUUGAGUGGGCGAGAAGUAUGCGGAAUGCGUGGUGUAGCGGUGAAAUGCAUAGAUAUCACGCAGAACUCCGAUUGCGAAGGCAGCAUACCGGCGCUCAACUGACGCUCAUGCACGAAAGUGUGGGUAUCGAACAGGAUUAGAUACCCUGGUA
rnacentral:rRNA from 1 species